CUAUAAUCUCAAACUCUAUAAUUUAGCUGCUCUUUCAAAGUCAGUUUCUGUCUUAUCUCUUCAGCAGCUGAAGCAGGAAGAAUUUCGUAUAUUUCCGUGUUGCCAUUUUAUUAAUUUUUAUACAGAGUAUUAAGCCGUCGACCACAGCCGAUUGCAUUGUUCUCACUUGUUUUCUGCUCUUUCUGAUCCGCGCGCUGUAAAGUGGGUCAAGCCUAGAAAACUAGAAACGUAACCAACAUAUAAGUGUGCGUACUUCUUAAGUGCCUGCAUACAGCACGGAAACAAAGAGAGUGAGCGAGAGAGCGAGGACAAGAGCAAGUGCUGAAAGAGCUGUGCAAUAACAGUGCUACGCAUGGAGCCUUGAAAUGGCAGGCAAAAACAUCUGGCUAGGCAACCUGGUUGGCUUGCCUGCCUGUGCUCUGCCUCUGCGGCGGUCUUCACAUCCUGUUUAACAACGAUGAAUCACGUUCCACACAUUUACCGGCAAUAUAACGCAAAUUAGCCACGGAGCCACAACAACAACACACCCCUAACUAAAUCGAUAGCAAUGAAUAAGAAUACCCCUACCCCCAGGCCCGGGUCUCACGCAAUUGCCCGCCCAGUUUCGUAAUCGGCAAGUACGCCCAAAUACAUAAAAAAAACACCAGAAUGGAAGACGAAAAAUAUUUGCACUUGAUAGCGAAUGUGACAAAGUUGUGGGUCGUAGUUAGUCAGAGGAGAGUGCAUACUGCAUCUCAAGAUCUUUAUUUAUAGUUUGCGUCUGUAGACGCCCCAAAAAAAAUAGAAAUAACAA